UACACUCCUACGGGAGGCAGCAGUGGGGAAUUUUGGACAAUGGGCGAAAGCCUGAUCCAGCCAUGCCGCGUGCAGGAUGAAGGCCUUCGGGUUGUAAACUGCUUUUGUACGGAACGAAACGGCCUUUUCUAAUAAAGAGGGCUAAUGACGGUAACGUAAGAAUAAGCACCGGCUAACUACGUGCCAGCAGCCGCGGUAAUACGUAGGGUGCAAGCGUUAAUCGGAAUUACUGGGCGUAAAGCGUGCGCAGGCGGUUAUGUAAGACAGUUGUGAAAUCCCCGGGCUCAACCUGGGAACUGCAUCUGUGACUGCAUAGCUAGAGUACGGUAGAGGGGGAUGGAAUUCCGCGUGUAGCAGUGAAAUGCGUAGAUAUGCGGAGGAACACCGAUGGCGAAGGCAAUCCCCUGGACCUGUACUGACGCUCAUGCACGAAAGCGUGGGGAGCAAACAGGAUUAGAAACCCCAGUAGUCCC
rnacentral:rRNA from 1 species